AUGUGCUUGGCUGAUAAGCCAAUGGUGCGAAGCUACCAUCUGAGGGAUUAUGACUGAACGCCUCUAAGUCAGAAUCCCGCCUGGAAAGCGACGAUGCAUUCGUGCCUCGGCCUCGAGAGGCGUAGCUAGACGGCCGCGUGGCCGUGGAAAGAGCCCGAUUCCGACCCGAGAGGCCGCGGCAAGAGGCGGCCUCGAAGUCGGUGGAUCCUCCUGCUCGAAAGGCGGGGUGCUAAACCAUUCGCAGACGACCUAGUUGAAGAUCGGGGUGUCGUGAUCACUAGAGCAGUACAUCUCACUGCGAUUUGUUGAGAGUAAGCCUCAAGAUCUGUCGGUUUGU
rnacentral:ncRNA from 1 species